rnacentral:rRNA from 1 species
UACAGAGGGUGCGAGCGUUGUCCGGAAUCACUGGGCGUAAAGGGCGCGUAGGUGGCGACCCAAGUCCGUGGUGAAAGCUCGUCGCUUAACGACGAGUCGGCCACGGAGACUGGGUGGCUCGAGCACUGUAGGGGCAGAUGGAAUUCCGGGUGUAGCGGUGGAAUGCGUAGAGAUCCGGAAGAACACCAGUGGCGAAGGCGGUCUGCUGGGCAGUUGCUGACACUGGGGCGCGACAGCGUGGGGAGCAAACAGG